GCCAUUUUAGAGAGUUAUCUGCUCUCGGUGUGUUUCUUUGGACGCUCCCGAAUGGUUCGAUAUUUUUCCUGAAAAUCUCGCAAGUAGCUCUUUUAUUUUUCGCAUAACAUACUGCAGUAGGGUUAGUGAUUCAAGAUGAGUUACGGCAGACCUCCGCCUGACGUCGAGGGCAUGACAUCUUUAAAAGUCGACAAUCUGACGUACCGCACGUCCCCUGAAACGCUGCGGCGGGUUUUCGAGAAAUACGGCCGAGUCGGGGACGUCUAUAUCCCGAGAGACCGGUACACAAAAGAGAGCCGCGGGUUCGCCUUUGUCCGUUUUCAUGAUAAGCGGGACGCGGAGGAUGCAAUGGACGCCAUGGACGGCGCGCUGCUGGACGGCCGCGAACUGCGCGUGCAGAUGGCACGAUACGGGCGCCCGCCAGAUUCGCAUUACAGCCGCCGCGGAGGCCCGCCGAGGAGAUACGGAGGACAUGGACGGAGAAGCCGAAGCCGUAGUCCUCGGCGCAGGAGGCACAGCAGGUCUAGAUCCAGGAGCAGAAGCCGGUCCCGUUCCCGUAGCAGAUCCCGCUACAGCCGAUCCAGGUCCUACUCCCGUUCUAAGUCCCGAUCUAAGUCCCGUUCCCGCUCCAAAACCCGCACACCACGCAGAAGCAAGUCCAAAUCGGCUUCCAGGUCCCGUUCAAGGUCUAAGUCCAAGUCUCGCUCCAGGAGCCAUACUCCCAGAUCAAACAAAGGAUCCAAAUCACGAUCCAGAUCGAGAAGCAGACCCAAAUCUCCAGAGGAUACUGGAGCCACUGCUGAAUCCUGAGCUGAAACAUAGCUGCUGAUUCCUGUUUGCAAAAGAGGAGUUUGGGGCAGUUUGAGAGCAGUUAGUGUGUGAUCCGACCAUUGGCUGCCUGCUGCUGAUUGGCGGUUGCUAUGGAGCAGGUCGGUCUCAUUGAGUGUUGAGGUGGUGUUGAGAUGAUGUCAGCUGGUAGAAUCUUCGAGGAUCGCACCGCACAGAUGUCCAUCUGAGGAUACCCAAAUUAUCCAUAUAUCAGACCGAAAGGUUAUUGUAAUUUGGUCUAAAUCUUUUAAAUGACUACUUGUUGUUCUUUCUGUUGCCCACAAUUGUUUUUGUCUCAUACAUUUGAAUUUCAUGUGAUAUUAAAUGAUCUUUAUGCCUAAAUUGGGCUACUAGGUGAAAUCGCUUCUCUUCAUUUUUGGUAGUUU